UCUCGGCAACGGAUAUCUCGCGUCUCGCAUCGAUGAAGAACGUAGCGAAAUGCGAUACUUGGUGUGAAUUGCAGAAUCCCGUGAACCAUCGAGUCUUUGAACGCAAGUUGCGCCCAAAGCCAUUAGGCCGAGGGCACGUCUGCCUGGGCGUCACGUAUCGCGUCG
rnacentral:rRNA from 1 species